rnacentral:lncRNA from 1 species
UCCGUUGUGUCUGCGGACGCACUCUCCGAGUAAUAGUACUGUGGCUUACUUCUCGCUGAUGAGGACGCCGGCGAGCUCACGCCGUCUAUGGAAUUUUCUGGAAACUGCUUAGAUGAUGAUGUGGUUGAUGACGCAGGUGAAUUUGCUACUCUUGAGCUCAAUUUUUGGGAUUUCGCUUGUCUUGUCGCCAUUUUAUCUACAAAAAAAAUUCUAAAUCAAAUUUAUCCGCAAAAAUUCAUCAGAAAACAGAUAAAUUAAAUUUAAAAACUGAAAGCAUAGACAAUUAAAACCUACAUUUCUGCGGAUGCGCUCUCCGAGUAAUAGUACUGCGGCUUACUUCUCGCAGAUGAGGACGCCGGCGAGCUCAUGCCGUCUAUGGAAUUUUCUGGAAACUGCUUAGAUGAUGAUGUGGUUGAUGACGCAGGUGAAUUUGCUACUCUUGAGCUCAAUUUUUGGGAUUUCGCUUGUCUUGUCGCCAUUUUAUCUACAAAAAAAAUUCUAAAUCAAAUUUAUCCGCAAAAAUUCAUCAGAAAACAGAUAAAUUAAAUUUAAAAACUGAAAGCAUAGACAAUUAAAACCUACAUUCAGCGAUAUCUCAAUAAAAUUUAUAGCGUUAAAUUCUAAAACAAUAUAUCCGCAAAAAUUCCUCAGAAAACAGAAAAAUUAAAUUUAAAAGCUGAAAGCACAGACAAUUAAAACCUACAUUCAGCGAUAUCUCAAUAAAAUUUAUAGCGUCAAAUUUCUGCUACUUAAAAUAAGAAAAAAAUAUGUCCAAGCCAAAAACGUUACAAAAAGGAAAAAUUGCAGAAGUUGCGGCAUGCAUUUUACAGUUGAGAUUAGGGGAAAAUACCUUAAUCAAUAAGGAGUAAAUAUGAACAAAGAGCACAUCUUCUCCGUUUUGGUCUUAAGAUCUAAAAGUAGGUGUGAUGAAAAACAUCAUUAUUCUCUUAAUCAAUGAGAGUAUCAAAAAGAGUGCCUUUUAGGUGAGCGAUGAAAAAGAAGAAGGGACUACUGUGUUUGGAUUGGAUAUUCUCUCUUCUCUCUCUAUCUAUUUUAGCUUGCCUUGUAAGCAAUGCAUACUUUUUUCACUUUCUCUCUCUUACCUUCAUCAAAGCUUAAGCCUAACUUCACUAUUUAACACAAUGCCGCCAUAACCGUGUAUAUGUCUAUGUGUAGAGAGAGAAAGUAGAGAGAGAAAGUAGAGAGAGAAACAGACAGAAAAAGGACACAGUCGCCCCCCACACACACGCAGUAGUGUGUGAUAACUGUGUGUAUAGGUAUAGUGCAGGCUAGAGAGAGAGAGUGAGAAAAAGUGUGACUCUGUGUGUGUGUGAGAGAGAGAGAGAGACGGGGAGAUAGUAAAAGGAGUUGAAUGCGGUGUGACUGAAAGGAAAACAGUGAAAGCUGGCAGUGGAAGAAUGGAGGGGUGAAUG